rnacentral:rRNA from 1 species
GUGUCAGCAGCCGCGGUAAUACGAAGGUCCCAAGCGUUGUUCGGAAUCACUGGGCGUAAAGGGAGCGUAGGCGGCGUGGUAAGUCAGAUGUGAAAUCCCGGGGCUCAACCCCGGAACUGCAUCCGAUACUGCCAUGCUUGAGGGUUGGAGAGGUAGCUGGAAUUCUCGGUGUAGCAGUGAAAUGCGUGGAUAUCGAGAGGAACACUCGUGGCGAAGGCGAGCUACUGGACAACAUCUGACGCUGAGGCUCGAAGGCUAGGGGAGCAAAAGGGAUUAGAUACCCCCGUAGUCC